CAACAAUGAAGUGAUAUUAUACUUUAGUAUAACAAAUGAUUCUCUUGUGAUUGCAUCAACAUGAAUACAUGAGUGUUGUAACCUCCAAUGUAAAAGGUUUAAAAUGUAUAAUAGUGAAAGAAUGAAAUGCUUAAGUUUGUUUUGUACUUUCACAACACACCCCUCCAUGUAACCUUUUAUUUUGUCUUACUGCUUUCGAAUGUGGUUCUCCCUGUGACUGAUGACUACAGGACAUUUGCUGAACGAAGAGAAAAGGACUCUGAAAUUCUCAAAGAAAAAUCAUGUGAAAAUAUGAAAAACUCACAGAAGAAGCAACAAGAAGCCUUUGCAAAGCGAAUGCAAAAGAAAUACAAAAAUUUAACUUUUGAGUCUUAAAGAUUUGGUCAGAAGAGGCAGUUCACAGGGUUGAAGCUGUGGUGGGACCAUACAAACUAUAUGACUCAUCGUUAAAAACACUUCAAGGGACAAAUUGGCUUUCAGAUGAGGUAAUUGACAGUUACCUUCACAUCCUUGCAGAGGAGCAGAAGGACCACAUUUUUUUGCUGUCUUCUGUUGUGUCAACAUCUCUGUUUAAUGGACAGUUUAGAUGUGUGAGGAAGAUGAUCAUCCCAAACAGGGAUUUGUGGCUGUGUCCAUACAACACAGGAGGGCAUUGGAUUCUUGUGAUUGUGAAAAUGUCAGGAAAGGCCCUAGUUGUUAUGGACCCCUUGGGAAAUGAGCAGAGGUA